rnacentral:tRNA from 1 species
GAGGAUGUAGCUCAGAUGGACAGAGCGCCUGUUUCCGAAGCAGGAAGUCACAGGUACCGCUUCGCGGAAGCAAGCUACGAUCCCUGUCAUCCUCG